GAUGAACGCUGGCGGCGUGCUUAACACAUGCAAGUCGAGCGAUGAAGUUUCCUUCGGGAAACGGAUUAGCGGCGGACGGGUGAGUAACACGGGGGUAACCUGCCUCAUAGAGUGGAGUAGCCUUCCGAAAGGAAGAUUAAUACCGCAUAACGUUGAAAGAUGGCAUCAUCAUUCAACCAAAGGAGCAAUCCGCUAUGAGAUGGACCCGCGGCGCAUUAGCUAGUUGGUGGGGUAACGGCCUACCAAGGCGACGAUGCGUAGCCGACCUGAGAGGGUGAUCGGCCACAUUGGGACUGGGACACGGCCCAGACUCCUACGGGAGGCAGCAGUGGGGAAUAUUGCACAAUGGGGGAAACCCUGAUGCAGCAACGCCGCGUGAGUGAUGAAGGUUUUCGGAUCGUAAAGCUCUGUCUUUGGGGAAGAUAAUGACGGUACCCAAGGAGGAAGCCACGGCUAACUACGUGCCAGCCGCCGCGGUAA
rnacentral:rRNA from 1 species